CCUACGGGUGACAGCAGUGGGGAAUAUUGCGCAAUGGGCGAAAGCCUGACGCAGCGACGCCGCGUGAGGGAUGAAGGUCUUCGGAUCGUAAAACUCUGUCAGCAGGGAAGAAAGGUCACUGUACUAAUCAGCAGUGAAUUGACGGUACCUACAAAGGACGCACAGGCUAACUCCGUGCCAGCAGCCGCGGUAAUACGGAGGGGGCGAGCGUUAAUCGGAAUUACUGGGAGUAAAGCGCGCGUAGGCGGUAUGUCAAGUCAAGGGUGAAAUCCCGGCGCUCAACGUGGGAACUGCCUUUGAAACUGGCAAACUUGAGUGUGUGAGAGGAUAGUGGAAUUCCAGGUGUAGGGGUGAAAUCCGUAGAUAUCUGGAGGAACAUCAGUGGCGAAGGCGACUAUCUGGCACAUAACUGACGCUGAGGAUCGAAAGCGUGGGUAGCAAACAGGAUUAGAUACCCUUGUAGUC
rnacentral:rRNA from 1 species